GGUAGUGUGGCCGAGCGGUCUAAGGCGCUGGAUUAAGGCUCCAGUGUCUCGUGAGGCAUGGGUUCAAAUCCCACCACUAUCA